GUGGGAGAGAGAGAGAGAGAGAGAGAGAGGAUUAGAGAGAGGAUCAAUCGGAUCCCACAACGACUGACGCCAUUUUCGUCGACAUUUUUCGAUUUAAAUUGAGAACGAUGGAAAAUGUUUCUUUAGUUUUCUAAGUGCAUGCCACAACACAACACAACAACAGCAACAAAAAAGCCACAACACAAAUUAUUUAUUUCAUAUUUUGCCCAGGAA